rnacentral:piRNA from 1 species
UCNGGUCUGAUGUGCUUUGCUGCAUGUCU